CAAACAUGCAUGUAUGUAUAUGUAUAUACAUGCAUGUGUAUAUAUAUGAAAGUGUUAAACGCUUAUGCUAUGCAGAUUAGUCGCCCCCAGCUCUCUGGAGAUGCUAGGUUUGAUGUGUGUCUAAAUAGAUUAGGUCACUUCUUUCUCUGGAAUUGGUCAAGUGAUGCAGAAACCUGAAGAGACUCAAAUAAGGGUCAAAAAUCAAUGAAGAAUUCAUCAUUGUUUUCAAUCUGCAGAGGAAUCGGUGAAUUUCAGAGAUCUACUGUUAUGUAAUAUUAUAGUUAUUAAAUAUAAUAUUAUAUUUAUCAAAUAAUAGAGAUAUUGUCUAAAAUGCUAUGAUAUCACACUUUUAUAGAAUUCCCAGCUUUAAAUGUUCAAUUUCUAAAAUAUAUUAUAAUAGAGGAAAUUAGUUAUAACGAACUUCACUUUUCAAUACAGUUUCUUUGGAGAUUUUCUUGUAGUUUUUCACUAUGAUCUGAAGUUCCAUAUUGAUAAUACUGAACUAGAAUUGCAAGGAUCAAAUCCAAGGAAUUCUUAACAACUGUAAUUGGAAUUCAAUUUUUGAAAACAAAAAGCAAUGAAAUUUUUCUCUCAAUUCAAAUUUCCUAUUUAUUUAUUGAACCAAACUUAAUAUCUCCCUCCUUCUUUCUUCCUUUUCUUUCUCUUCUAUGCUUUCUUUUCUUUUUUCCUUUCACAGAUUCUAAUUUAUGAAGAAAAUUUUCAGUUUUUUUCCAAAAUAAAUUUAUGUUUUGACAGAAUUAGCACAGAUUGGUUAUUUCUGUUGAAAAUAUUUUUAUUUAUAAAUCAAUAAAUAAGCAUAUUUUUGACAGAAGUUUCAAGCAUUAUUUUAACAUAGGUUUUCUCAUCAAUUCUUUUGCCCCCAAAAUAUUUAUUUAUAAAUAAAUGCAUUUUAAGAAAAUUAAAAUAGAUUUAUAUAUUUAUAUACAUAAAUAUUUUUAUCAACCAAGAAUUGUUGUAAUACAUCAUUAUAGAUUGUUUUAACACGUGGUUGUUUAUUAACCAAAUUACAUUUAUUUAUAUAUUUAUAAAUUUAUAAACAAAUCUAUUUUCAUAGAAUCGGACAAACAGAUUUUCAAUUUAGCACAAAUGUAUCUUUUCAAAAAUAGAUUCAUUUCUAUAUUUAUCUAUCAAUCAAUAUUUUCUUGUUGAGGAAAGCUUUUAAACAUUUUUACCAUUAACCCCACCAAUUAAUUAAUUCUGUGCUUUUAAUUAACUAAUUUCUUGAUAUCUGAUCGCUAACCCCCAUUACACAUUGUUACGGCAUAAAUAUUAUAAUUAUGAAUAUUUUUCUAUCGUCCAAAAAAAUCACAUCUUUACAAAAAGUAUGAAUGGUGUUUUUGGUUUUCUCAUAAAAAUCUCAGGUUUCAAACUUUUGUAGGAAACAAUUUAUUUCAUUUUUUUCUGAGUAUUUUUUUUCCAUUUCUCUUUUAUACAUUAUUUAUUUAUUUAUUUAUUAAUGACCUCAGAAAUCAUGUUAAAUACACUAAUUUCAUACAUAACACGACACUCCUUACCUGGGUUAUGAACCCACAUUUGUGCUUACCUGUGGGUGGAAUGGAUGAGUACAGACCCCUAGUCUAUGUUUUUAAUGGCAGUUGCUACACUCACACACACACACACACGCACACACACACACACACAAUUUCAAACAUCAUGGAAUUGUCUGGAAAAUUGCAAUGAAAUCCUGAUUCCUUCUCUCGUCUCAAACAGAUCCUAAAGCUGUCUUUCAUUGCUCAUAUCAGCCAAAUUGAUGAGAUGUCACAAUCACACUGGACAAGACCCUAGUCUCCCCCUACAAUUGACCUCACUGACAUCCCGGUAUUUGUAGUCUUGUCUUAAACUAUAGUUUAUCUGCUUUACUCAAUUUCACAAUGCAAUAUUUGUUGUAGAAGAACUGGAACUUGUCAGUGAACCAUUUACCAAGAAAUCUUUAAUUCAUUCUCUCUUGGAAAUUGUGGCCAAACUUCUGCUACAGAAUCAAUGAAUUUUGCUAAUUUGUUGUUGAUAUCUAGAAAAUUGCAGAUAAAGUUAACUUAGACCCUGACUGUUCUGGAUUCUGUAGACAUCACAUCUUUGUCUUUAAUAAAAUGCAGUUGGUGACCAGCUGGCAGAAACGUUAGCACAUCGGGUGAAAUACUUAGCAGUAUUUUGUCUGCCGUUACGUUCUGAGUUCAAAUUCUGCCGAGGUUGACUUUACCUUUCAUACUUUCGGGGUUGAUAAAUUAAGUACCAGUUACGCACUGGGGUCGAUAUAAUUGACUUAAUCCCUUUGUCUGUCCUUGUUUGUCCCCUCUGUGUGUAGCCCCUUGUGGUACAAAUCUGGCUGUGUGAUUAAGAAGAUCUUUUUGUGACCACAUGGUCUUGGGUUCAGUCCCACUGUGUGUCACCUUGGGCAAGUGUCUUCUUCUAUAGCCUUGGGCCAACUAAUGCUUUGCAAGUGAAUUUGGCUCACAGAAACUCUGUGGAAGCAUGGCAACAGUUCAAUGACCAAAACUAGUAAAAGAUCAAAGAUAAUGGUUAGAGUUGUUUUGAUUAAUUCCGUCCACCCUGAAUUUAUUUGGGGCCAUACUGGACAGCAGUAUUGAGAAAUUAUUUUGACAUUUUCCGGUUCUGUUUUCAAAUUCUGCAGGACUGACUGAUACAAUAUUUCAAGUUGACUUGAUGUCUGAAGGUUCAAAUCUUUGUAUUUCCAUCCAAAUUACAAAAAAAAAACCACUUAAAUUUCAAUAGUUUUAAACAUUUCUUUUUAAACGUACACCAAGGAGAGACAUAAUUUACUGUGACCAGUGGUGGGAGCACUGGUAUUCUGUUGGAUUGCAGUGUGUGUUGUUUAGGAAAGAAACCCUCCAAAAGUUAAUAGGGCUGAUCACCCAUUGAUGGAUACCUUAUCACCUAUCUCUAUAUAAAAGCUUCUUGUAUGUUGACACAUCAGAUCUCUCUUUGACACAUCAGAAUCAUUUGCACAACCAAACUGAGUGGUAUUUCUUCUGGCGCUUUAUGUUCUGAGUUCAAAUUCUGCCAAGGUUGACUUUGCCCUUCAUCCUUUCAAGGUCGAUCAAAUAAAGUAUCACUCAAAUAAAGUAUCACUCAAAUAUAGUAUCCCUCAAAUAAAGUAUCACUCAAAUAUAGUAUCCCUCAAAUAAAGUAUCCCUCAAAUAAAGUAUCCCUCAAAUAAAGUAUCACUCAAAUAAGGUAUCCCUCAAAUAAAGUAUCCCUCAAAUAAAGUAUCACUCAAAUAAGGUAUACCUCAAAUAUAGUAUCCCUCAAAUAAAGUAUCACUCAAAUAAGGUAUCACUCAAAUAUAGUAUCCCUCAAAUAAAGUAUCACUCAAAUAAAGUAUCACUCAAAUAAGGUAUCACUCAAAUAUAGUAUCCCUCAAAUAAAGUAUCACUCAAAUAAGGUAUACCUCAAAUAAAGUAUCCCUCAAAUAAAGUAUCACUCAAAUAAAGUAUCACUCAAAUAAGGUAUCACUCAAAUAUAGUAUCCCUCAAAUAAAGUAUCCCUCAAAUAAGGUAUCCCUCAAAUAAAGUAUCCCUCAAAUAAAGUAUCACUCAAAUAAAGUAUCACUCAAAUAAAGCAUCCCUGCAAUAAAGUAUCACUCAAAUAAAGCAUCCCUGCAAUAAAGUAUCACUCAAAUAAAGCAUCACUCAAAUAAAGUAUCACUCAAGUAUUGAACUCAAUGUACCUCCCCCUUGCACCUCCCCCUCAAAAUUGCUGGACUCGUGCCUCAAUUUGAAACAAUUAUUACAUCAUCAUUCAUAUUAUUAUUAUUAUUAAUAUUAUUAUUAUUAUUAUUAUUAUUAUUAUUAUUAUUAUUAUUAUUAUUAUUACUAAGGCGGUGAGCUGGCAGAAUCAUUAGCGAACUGGUCAAAAUGCUUAGUGGUAGUUUGCCCGUCACUACGUUCUGAGUUCAAAUUCUGCCAAGGCCAACUUUGCCUUUCAUCCUUUCAGGGUCGAUAAAAUAAGUACCAGUUGUGUACUGGGGUCAAUAUAAUCAACUCAUCCCCCUCCCCCAAAAUUGCUGCCCAUGUGGCAAAAUUUGAAACCAUUAUUAUUAUUAUUAUUAUU
rnacentral:lncRNA from 1 species